rnacentral:rRNA from 1 species
GAAUUCGCCCUUAGAGUUUGAUCCUUUCUCAGGACGAACGCUGGCGGCGCGCCUAACACAUGCAAGUCGAACGAGCGAGAGAGAGCUUGCUUUCUCAAGCGAGUGGCGAACGGGUGAGUAACGCGUGAGGAACCUGCCUCAAAGAGGGGGACAACAGUUGGAAACGACUGCUAAUACCGCAUAAGCCCACGGCUCGGCAUCGAGCAGAGGGAAAAGGAGCAAUCCGCUUUGAGAUGGCCUCGCGUCCGAUUAGCUAGUUGGUGAGGUAACGGCCCACCAAGGCGACGAUCGGUAGCCGGACUGAGAGGUUGAACGGCCACAUUGGGACUGAGACACGGCCCAGACUCCUACGGGAGGCAGCAGUGGGGAAUAUUGCACAAUGGGGGAAACCCUGAUGCAGCGACGCCGCGUGGAGGAAGAAGGUCUUCGGAUUGUAAACUCCUGUUGUUGAGGAAGAUAAUGACGGUACUCAACAAGGAAGUGACGGCUAACUACGUGCCAGCAGCCGCGGUAAAACGUAGGUCACAAGCGUUGUCCGGAAUUACUGGGUGUAAAGGGAGCGCAGGCGGGAAGACAAGUUGGAAGUGAAAUCCAUGGGCUCAACCCAUGAACUGCUUUCAAAACUGUUUUUCUUGAGUAGUGCAGAGGUAGGCGGAAUUCCCGGUGUAGCGGUGGAAUGCGUAGAUAUAGGGAGGAACACCAGUGGCGAAGGCGGCCUACUGGGCACCAACUGACGCUGAGGCUCGAAAGUGUGGGUAGCAAACAGGAUUAGAUACCCUGGUAGUCCACACUGUAAACGAUGAUUACUAGGUGUUGGAGGAUUGACCUCUUCAGUGCCGCAGUUAACACAAUAAGUAAUCCACCUGGGGAGUACGACCGCAAGGUUGAAACUCAAAGGAAUUGACGGGGGCCCGCACAAGCAGUGGAGUAUGUGGUUUAAUUCGACGCAACGCGAAGAACCUUACCAAGUCUUGACAUCCUGCGACAGACAUAGAAAUAUGUUUUUCCUUCGGGACGCAGAGACAGGUGGUGCAUGGUUGUCGUCAGCUCGUGUCGUGAGAUGUUGGGUUAAGUCCCGCAACGAGCGCAACCCUUAUGGUCAGUUACUACGCAAGAGGACUCUGGCCAGACUGCCGUUGACAAAACGGAGGAAGGUGGGGAUGACGUCAAAUCAUCAUGCCCUUUAUGACUUGGGCUACACACGUACUACAAUGGCGUUAAACAAAGAGAAGCAAGACCGCGAGGUGGAGCAAAACUCAGAAACAACGUCCCAGUUCGGACUGCAGGCUGCAACUCGCCUGCACGAAGUCGGAAUUGCUAGUAAUCGUGGAUCAGCAUGCCACGGUGAAAACGUUCCCGGGCCUUGUACUCACCGCCCGUCA